rnacentral:rRNA from 1 species
GCGAAAUCAUUUGUCAUUUAAUUGGUGACCUGUAUGAACGGACACACGAGGUUACAACUGUCUCAUAUGUAUACCUAAAAAUUAGAAUAUAGGUGAAAAUACCUAUCAACACAAAAAAGACAAGAAGACCCUAGGAGCUUUAAUCUUUACCCCUACACCUGGGCAAUCCGAUUUUUGUUGGGGAAACAUAGGACCAUCUAAAACGCCCUACAACCACACCCACUCCGAACCAAAAGAUCACAGGCGAGCUACCCUAGGGAUAACAGUCUAAUCCGUUCGGAGAGUCCAUAUCGAUGAACGGGC